rnacentral:rRNA from 1 species
GACGAACGCUGGCGGCGUGCCUAAUACAUGCAAGUCGAGCGAAGUUUUUCUGGUGCUUGCCCUAGAAACACUUAGCGGCGAACGGGUGAGUAGCACGUAAAGAACCUGCCUCAUAGACUGGGACAACUAUUGGAAACGAUAGCUAAUACCGGAUAACAGUAUUUCUCGCAUGAGAGAUAUUUAAAAGUUGGUUAUGCUAACACUAUGAGAUGGCUUUGCGGUGCAUUAGCUAGUUGGUGGGGUAAAGGCCCACCAAGGCGACGAUGCAUAGCCGACCUGAGAGGGUGAUCGGCCACACUGGGACUGAGACACGGCCCAGACUCCUACGGGAGGCAGCAGUAGGGAAUCUUCCGCAAUGGGCGAAAGCCUGACGGAGCAACGCCGCGUGAGUGAAGAAGGAUUUCGGUUCGUAAAGCUCUGUUGUUAGGGAAGAAUGGAUAUGUAGUAACUAUACAUGUAAGAGACGGUACCUAACCAGAAAGCCACGGCUAACUACGUG